rnacentral:rRNA from 1 species
GACGAACGCUGGCGGCGUGCUUAACACAUGCAAGUCGAACGGGAAGGCCCUGCUUGCAGGGUGCUCGAGUGGCGAACGGGUGAGUAACACGUGGGUGAUCUGCCCCUUACUUUGGGAUAAGCCUGGGAAACUGGGUCUAAUACUGGAUAGGACCAUGCUGUAGGUGGUGUGGUGGAAAGAUUAGUUUCGGUAAGGGAUGAGCUCGCGGCCUAUCAGCUUGUUGGUGGGGUAAUGGCCUACCAAGGCGUCGACGGGUAGCCGGCCUGAGAGGGUGGACGGCCACAUUGGGACUGAGAUACGGCCCAGACUCCUACGGGAGGCAGCAGUGGGGAAUAUUGCACAAUGGGCGCAAGCCUGAUGCAGCGACGCCGCGUGGGGGAUGACGGCCUUCGGGUUGUAAACUCCUUUCAGCCAUGACGAAGCCCUUGUGGUGACGGUAGUGGUAGAAGAAGCACCGGCUAACUACGUG